rnacentral:rRNA from 1 species
GCGAACGGGGAGCAGCCCAGAGCCUGAAUCAGUGUGUGUGUUAGUGGAAGCGUCUGGAAAGGCGCGCGAUACAGGGUGACAGCCCCGUACACAAAAAUGCACAUGCUGUGAGCUCGAUGAGUAGGGCGGGACACGUGGUAUCCUGUCUGAAUAUGGGGGGACCAUCCUCCAAGGCUAAAUACUCCUGACUGACCGAUAGUGAACCAGUACCGUGAGGGAAAGGCGAAAAGAACCCCGGCGAGGGGAGUGAAAAAGAACCUGAAACCGUGUACGUACAAGCAGUGGGAGCACGCUUAGGCGUGUGACUGCGUACCUUUUGUAUAAUGGGUCAGCGACUUAUAUUCUGUAGCAAGGUUAACCGAAUAGGGGAGCCGAAGGGAAACCGAGUCUUAACUGGGCGUUAAGUUGCAGGGUAUAGACCCGAAACCCGGUGAUCUAGCCAUGGGCAGGUUGAAGGUUGGGUAACACUAACUGGAGGACCGAACCGACUAAUGUUGAAAAAUUAGCGGAUGACUUGUGGCUGGGGGUGAAAGGCCAAUCAAACCGGGAGAUAGCUGGUUCUCCCCGAAAGCUAUUUAGGUAGCGCCUCGUGAAUUCAUCUCCGGGGGUAGAGCACUGUUUCGGCAAGGGGGUCAUCCCGACUUACCAACCCGAUGCAAACUGCGAAUACCGGAGAAUGUUAUCACGGGAGACACACGGCGGGUGCUAACGUCCGUCGUGAAGAGGGAAACAACCCAGACCGCCAGCUAAGGUCCCAAAGUCAUGGUUAAGUGGGAAACGAUGUGGGAAGGCCCAGACAGCCAGGAUGUUGGCUUAGAAGCAGCCAUCAUUUAAAGA